rnacentral:sRNA from 1 species
GUGAAACCCAUAAAUUAUGUUUACGCAAUUGAUCCAACUUAAUACCUUUAGAAAAACUUAGCGUAAACAUUCAGUUUCCCUGGUGUUGGCGCAGUCGUUGCGCACCCCAGCCUAGGC